rnacentral:lncRNA from 1 species
GAGACCCCGAGGCUCGGCUCCCAGAAGCCCUUGCACUCGACGCGGCGGCGGCGGCGGCGGCGGCGGCGGCGGCGGAGGAGGAGUGGUGGCCGCACAUCCUAGCAGUGGGGCGUAGAGAAAGUGCGCGCCGCCGUCCCACCCACCGAAGGAGGAGCCUGUGCCUGCGACAAGCCCUGGAUUUUAGUUGCGCUUGCGGUGGCCAUGCUGUAGGUACUCUGCGGCCCGUAGACCUCCGUGUGUGCAAAGGGACGACCCCUCAUUCAUUCAUUCUUCACGCGUGCGUGCAUGCAUACAUUCUUAAGGAUAUAAACUGUGUCAAGUACCAUUUUAGAUACAUUAUUGGGGCUACAACAGUGCAAAAAAGUUGGUAAAAAUCGCAGCCUUGUUAAGUGUACGGAGAAGCUCACGUUUUCUUCAGCUUCAUUAACUUUUAUAUGCUCUGCUCGUUUUAUUUCAAGCUUUUUGUCAUUUAUAAUUUUAUAUUCUAUAACAUCUGCGGUUUUUUGUUUUUGUUUUUCUGUUUUUGGGGGGUUUUUUUUGAGACGGAGUCUGGCGCUGUCACCAGGCUGGAGUGCAGUGAUGCGAUCUCGGCUCACUGCAACCUCCGCCUCCCAGGUUCAAGCGAUUCUCCUGCCUCAGCCUCCCAAGUAGCUGGGACUACAGGCAUGCGCCACCACGCCCAGCUAAUUUUUGUAUUUUUAGUAGAGACCAGGUUUCACCGUGUUGGCCAGGAUGGUCUUGAUCUCUUGACCUCCUGAUCCGCCCGCCUCAGCCUCCCAAAGUGUUGGGAUUACAGGCAUGAGCCACCACACCCAGCCACAUGAGUGUAUUUUUGACAGCAAUGUAGUCACCAAUAAACGAGUAACUUCAGUUAAAGUACUGUAGAUUAUAAUACACAGCCCUGUAAUCUACCCUGGAGUUCAACAAACGGUAUUGAAAACAGACUGUGUUCCAGAUGCAAUAGGAAGAGAAUAAAUAAGAUAAACAAUACAUAAAUCCUGCCCAGAAGACGUUUGCAAUUUUUUAAGAGGAAAAACAUGAAGACAAAUUGUUUUAAGAUGUUUGCUAUUUUCAAUAGUUGAAAAAUAAACAGGAGAGAAGGGAUUAUUUAACUGUGGGUAUGUAGGGCUGAGAAAGGCACGCUUGACAAAGGAAACCUGGGCAGUGUUACCAGAAAGCGUUGCCAAUCAUGAGUCCAUAUAGUGAAGUGAAAGCAAGUUUAUUAAAGAAGUAAAGAAACAAAAGAAUGGCUACUCCAUAGGCAGAGCAGUGGCUUGGGCUGCUGGACUGAGUAUAUAGUUUUUUUGUGUGUUGUUUGUUUGUUUUGACACGGAGUCUUGCUCUGUCGCCCAGGCUGGAGUGCAGUGGCGCCAUCUCGGCUCACUGCAAGCUCCGCCUCCCGGGUUCACGCCAUUCUCCUGCCUCAGCCUCCCGAGUAGCUGGAAAUUUAUUGUAUUUUUAGUAGAGACAGGGUUUCACCGUGUUAGCCAGGAUGGUCUCAAUCUACUGACCUGGUGAUCCUCCUGGCUCGGCCUCCCAAAGUGCUGGGAUUACAGGCGUGAGCCACCGCGCCCAGCCAGUUAUUUCUUAAUUAUAUGUUAAACAAGGGGUGGAUUAUUCAUGAGUUUUCAAGGAAGGGGGCAGGCAAUUUUUGGAACUUAGGGUUCUACCCUCUUUUAGACUGUAUGACUUCUGGAUGUUGCCAUGGCAUUUGUAAACUGUCAUGGUGCUGGUGGGAGUGUCUUUUAGCAUGCUAAUGCAUUAUAAUUCACGUAUAAUGAGAAGUGAGGAUGACCAGAGGUCACUUUUGUCUUCAUCUUGGUUUUGGUGGGUUUGGCCUGUCUUCUUUACGACAUCCUGUUUAUCAGCAGGGUCUUUGUGACCUGUAUCUUGCGUGGACCUCCAAUCUUCUGUGACUAAGAAUGCCUAACCUCCUGGGAAUGCAGCUCAGUAGGUCUCAGCCUCGUUUUACCCAGCACCUGUUCAAGUUGGAGUCACUCUGGUUCAAACGCCUCUGACAACAGGACUAUUGGAGUACUGAUAGGAGUUUAUUUGCCUUAAUCACCUGGCCACCCUAUCCCUUUCUUAUUUCCUCCCUACUCCUCCGUCCUGGGAGACUGAAUUCAAAUAGACAAUGGCCAGAGAAUAUAUACAAAUAGAACACUAACCUACAACCUUCAACAACCAGUCCAGGAAGGCAACCUACUAUGUCCAGUAACCAGUCCAAGAAAUCAGAUUACUAUAUUUAGCAACCAGUCCAGGAAGCCAAGCAAUAACCCUUGUAGCAAUCUACCCCAAAUGGCCAGGACGUGAUUAAUAACUUACAGCUUCUGUAAGUUUUGUCAGGGCUUCCAACUCAAGGCCAGCUAGAGAGAGCCAAAUAUCUACCCACCCCUAAAUAAUUACAUAGGAUGCCCUGCUUUUAGUUAGCCCACCUGCAGCUUCUCCAUGCCAACAGCCUUGAAUUGGCAUACCUGAAGCUUUCCCUUUUUUCCACUCUAAAGCUUUCUCACUCCUCUGCCUGCCGUUGAGUCUCUGACAAAUGCAAGUGAUGAUGGCUGACUCCCUUGCUAUUGUAAGCUCCAAAUAAAUUUGGCUUUGCUUGUUCUCAUUUAGAUGGUCUGCACUUGUUUCUAUACUCCUGAAGAAGAUUCCUGCUAUCUGGACAUGCCUUCCCUCUGGAUAGAUAUGGCAGAAGAGAUGAUAAUGGUGUCUUUUAGACCUCUGCUCAGCAGGGUCUAGGUCCCGGCUUUUCAUAUCCAGGAAAGAACUGGAGGAAUAGGAUUGGUAUCAAGAUGCUGACUUCAUUAGUUGUAUGCAAUGCCAACCACAGCAACUUCCUACCAAGACCUGACCUUCUAUGGCAUCUUUCCCAAUCUGCCUGUCAAA